rnacentral:snRNA from 1 species
AAAACGGUUCAUUCAGAUGAUC